UGGCCCAGGAUACACUUCUUAGCUUCCUGAAGUCUGUCACAAGUACUCAAGAUGGUCAUCCCUUAACAGUCUGUUCAAGUUGUUCUGUGAAGUAGGCAACAGGUGGAAGGAUAUUCCCCGGAGUUUGAAUUAAUGCUUGCAGACUUACGCUCUGUCUCUCAUGGACAUAUAAUCUGAAAGGUUUCUUUAAGCCUGGUAGUCCCAAAGCCUGGGCUGAGACUAACUUUGUUCUCAUUGUUUCAAAGACUGUUUGGCACUCUUUAGUCCAAGUUAGGGGCUAAAAAUCACGUCCCUUUAAAGCCUCCCAGGCUGGUCUGCUCCCCACCUGUACCUUCUGCAUUUGUCUCUUGAUCAUCUCAACUCAAAUCAUCAGGCAAACCAGCAGCAACAUCUACAGCAACACUGACAGUAUUGCUCUUAGGGCCACCCUGAAAUGGGACUUGACUUCACGCUAAUCCCACCUGAACCCACAGACUCCUAUUCUGAGACCCUCCCUGCCCCUAAUCCUACCAAGGGAGAGCCCACUUCAGGAUACCCCUGCUUCCUCACAGAACAUCACAGGAAGCCAUAGAGGCUCCCUGUAGCAGAAACAGCAUUGUACCCAGCGCAAGAUGGGACGCCUGUCUUCAGGAUGACCCUGGAACCAAGAAUCUUCAGUCUACAGUGCUCAAAGAAUAGAUAGGAUGCCACCAGAGCCCUUUAAAAAGCAAGACGUCCUUCAGUAAGGAAAAUCUGCCUUCUAGCAACAGGAGUGGCUUAUAGGGAUGCAUCCAAGAGCAGCCAAUCAGCUUCCAAGUUUGAAAUUCCCCUAACCCCUUAAAUUUGGCCCUGAAGCCUGGAUUAAGGAGACAGGUUUGAGAGCUUUGCCUCCUGUCCCCUUGCCCGUGGAUCUUCCCCCAGUAAAGCACUUUUCUCAAAAGACGGAUUGGUAGCUGGAUAACAAGGGCAAAAUCCAGUUAGUCGGCAGGACAGGGCCUUCUCUUCCCACCUUGGGGGCACAGAGCAGGACAAUACAGGGCACUCAACUUCAAGGCUGAAGCCUGAGUCCUGCAGGGACAAAAUGACCAGUAACAUCCCGAAGAUGGAGCUGGCCACACUCAGAGACCUGGGCACCGUCUCAGCCCAGUUCUGCCUGCCCAGUGUGGUCACAGAGACCGCAGUCCAGUGUGGGGGGGUGUUGGUAACCCGUGGGCUCCCCUUCCCGUGCUACACAUCUGGGGACCCUGCACUUAAAACGCCGGGGAGGUUAUCUUCCGUCUUGUCUCUGAAUGGGGGGCGGCUCAGAAGGAAACCCAGAAACAGGGUGUGGGAGGGCGGCCUUGCCUGC